AGGACGAACGCUGGCGGCGUGCUUAACACAUGCAAGUCGAGCGGAAAGGCCCUUCGGGGUACUCGAGCGGCGAACGGGUGAGUAACACGUGAGCAAUCUGCCCUUAGCUUCGGGAUAGCCCCGGGAAACCGGGAUUAAUACCGAAUACGACCUCGGCCGACAUCGGCUUUGGUGGAAAGUUUUUCGGCUAGGGAUGAACUCGCGGCCUAUCAGCUUGUUGGUGGGGUAAUGGCCUACCAAGGCGACGACGGGUAGCCGGCCUGAGAGGGCGACCGGCCACACUGGGACUGAGACACGGCCCAGACUCCUACGGGAGGCAGCAGUGGGGAAUAUUGCGCAAUGGGCGAAAGCCUGACGCAGCGACGCCGCGUGGGGGAUGAAGGCCUUCGGGUUGUAAACCCCUUUCAGCAGGGACGAAGCGAAAGUGACGGUACCUGCAGAAGAAGCGCCGGCUAACUACGCGCCAGCAGCCGC
rnacentral:rRNA from 1 species